GCCUCCGUAGCUCAGCUAGCAGAGUGCGAGACUUGUAAUCUCGAGGUCAUGGGUGCAAUUCCCAUCGGAGGCU
rnacentral:tRNA from 1 species